ensembl:scaRNA small Cajal body-specific RNA 18
UGGUCUGUGAUGAAUAGCCCACUGCGCAAUCUGAGUUCUGUGGAACUGAAUGAUGGAAUUUGUGCUAACAAAGGCAUCUGAGACCA